UACAGAGGUGCCAAGCGUUAGGCGGAAUCACUGGGCUUAAAGCGCGUGUAGGUGGGUCGUUAAGUGUCCGCGUGAAAUCCCACGGCUCAACCGUGGAACUGCCGGGCAUACUGGCGAUCUUGAGUCCGGGAGAGGUGAGUGGAACUGCGAGUGUAGAGGUGAAAUUCGUAGAUAUUCGCAAGAACACCAGUGGCGAAGGCGGCUCACUGGCCCGGUACUGACGCUGAGGUGCGAAAGCGUGGGGAGCAAACAGG
rnacentral:rRNA from 1 species